rnacentral:misc_RNA from 1 species
UACGUAGGGGGCAAGCGUUGUCCGGAAUUAUUGGGCGUAAAGCGCGCGCAGGCGGUCCUUUAAGUCUGAUGUGAAAGCCCACGGCCCAACCGUGGAGGGUCAUCGGAAACUGGGGAACUUGAGUACAGAAGAGGAGAGCGGAAUUCCACGUGUAGCGGUGAAAUGCGUAGAUAUGUGGAGGAACACCAGUGGCGAAGGCGAUUCUCUGGUCUGUAACUGACGCUGAGGCGCGUAAGCGUGGGGAGCAAACAGG